CGAGGGGCAGCACAGGUAGCAAUACCGGGUGGCGACCGGCGCACGGGUGAGUAACGCGUAUGCAACUUACCUAUCAGAGGGGGAUAACCCGGCGAAAGUCGGACUAAUACCGCAUAAAGCAGGGAUCCCGCAUGGGAAAUUUGCUAAAGAUUCAUCGCUGAUAGAUAGGCAUGCGUUCCAUUAGGCAGUUGGCGGGGUAACGGCCCACCAAACCGACGAUGGAUAGGGGUUCUGAGAGGAAGGUCCCCCACAUUGGUACUGAGACACGGACCAAACUCCUACGGGAGGCAGCAGUGAGGAAUAUUGGUCAAUGGGCGUAAGCCUGAACCAGCCAAGUCGCGUGAGGGAUGAAGGUUCUAUGGAUCGUAAACCUCUUUUAUAAGGGAAUAAAGUGCGGGACGUGUCCCGUUUUGUAUGUACCUUAUGAAUAAGGAUCGGCUAACUCCGUGCCAGCAGCCGCGGUAAUACGGAGGAUCCGAGCGUUAUCCGGAUUUAUUGGGUUUAAAGGGUGCGUAGGCGGCCUUUUAAGUCAGCGGUGAAAGUCUGUGGCUCAACCAUAGAAUUGCCGUUGAAACUGGGGGGCUUGAGUAUGUUUGAGGCAGGCGGAAUGCGUGGUGUAGCGGUGAAAUGCUUAGAUAUCACGCAGAACCCCGAUUGCGAAGGCAGCCUGCCAAGCCAUGACUGACGCUGAUGCACGAAAGCGUGGGGAUCAAACAGGAUUAGAUACCCUGGUAGUCCACGCAGUAAACGAUGAUCACUAGCUGUUUGCGAUACACAGUAAGCGGCACAGCGAAAGC
rnacentral:rRNA from 1 species